UGGGGAAUAUUGCACAAUGGGGGAAACCCUGAUGCAGCGACGCCGCGUGAACGAAGAAGGUAUUCGUAUCAUAAAGUUCUGUCCUAUGGGAAGAUAAUGACAGUACCAUAGAAGAAAGCUCCGGCUAAAUACGUGCCAGCAGCCGCGGUAAUACGUAUGGAGCGAGCGUUGUCCGGAAUUAUUGGGCGUAAAGGGUACGCAGGCGGUUUAAUAAGUCGAAUGUUAAAGAUCGGGGCUCAACCCCGUAAAGCAUUGGAAACUGAUAAACUUGAGUAGUGGAGAGGAAAGUGGAAUUCCUAGUGUAGUGGUGAAAUACGUAGAUAUUAGGAGGAAUACCAGUAGCGAAGGCGACUUUCUGGACACAAACUGACGCUGAGGUACGAAAGCGUGGGGAGCAAACAGG
rnacentral:rRNA from 1 species